rnacentral:lncRNA from 1 species
UCCUAUCCACGGCGAUUAUAAAGCUUUUAGCCUCCGGAGGAUGAUCUGUGAGAGACUGGGACUCUGAGAAGACAGGAAGAGACUUGGAAGAUCCUAGAGGCAGUCUAUCCUCAUCACUUGACAGAUGGGACAGCAAGGCACAAGGAAGCAGUACAGUGGUGGGCAGCACCCAGACAGAACCCUAGUUUCCUGUCUUCAUGUCUCUCAGAUGUCAGUAUUCAUCCUACCAUGCUGUAGUUGGCAAUCCCUUUGUCUGGACAGAUAACAGGGUUUGGAUUUGUUUUUUGCUGUUGUUGUUGUUGUUUUGUUUUUGUUGUUGUUGUUUUGUUUUGUUUUUCAUGCCUGUGCUUUAGAGGGAAAAAGUAUUCAGUUUGGGAUUUCCUAGUCUUUAGAGUAGGAUUCAAAGAGACCCCCAUUUAAAAUAGAUUCUCCUCUCCCUCCCUCUGUUCCUCCCCUCUCCUCCACCAGCUUUGCACCCCACUUUCAGAUAGCCUUAGCUGUGUGUGGAACACCAAAUAAAUGGGAUCC